GGAGGGCACGAGCGUUGUUCGGAAUUAUUGGGCGUAAAGCGCGUGUAGGCGGCUUGGUAAGUCGGAUGUGAAAGCCCGGGGCUCAACCCCGGAAUUGCAUUCGAAACUGCCUCGCUAGAGUCUCGGAGAGGAGGGCGGAAUUCCCGGUGUAGAGGUGAAAUUCGUAGAUAUCGGGAGGAACACCAGUGGCGAAGGCGGCCCUCUGGACGAUGACUGACGCUGAGACGCGAAAGCGUGGGGAGCAAACAGGAUUAGAUACCCUGGUAGUCCACGCCGUAAAUGUUGGGUGCUAGGUGUCGCGGGUAUUGACCCCCCUGCGGCGCCGGCGUUAACGCAUUUAGCACCCCGCCUGGGGAGUACGGUCGCAAGACUA
rnacentral:rRNA from 1 species